GACGAACGCUGGCGGCGUGCUUAACACAUGCAAGUCGAGCGAGAAGUUUUGAAAAGAUUCUUCGGAUGAAAUUUAAAAUGGAAAGCGGCGGCCUGGGGAGUCACGCGUAGGCAACCUGACACAUUCAUAGGGAUAGCAUUUGGAAACGAAAAUUAAUACCUUAUGAUACUUAACUAGGGCAUGCUAGGUAGGUUAAAGAUUUAUUGGUAUGGGAUGGGCCUGUGUCUGAUUAGCUAGUUGGUGAGGUAUCGGCCCACUAAGGGGACGGUCAGUAGCCGGCCUGGGUGGGAGGACAGCCAGGUUCGGACUUAGGCACGGUCCAACCUCCUACGGGAGGCGGCAGGGGGGUAUAAUGCACAAUGGGGGAAACACGGAUGCAGCCACGCCGCGUGAAGGAGGAAGGCCGUUUGGACGUAAAGUUCUGUUCUAGCUGAUGGAAACUGACAGUAACCUAGGAAAAAGCCCCGGCUAACUCCGUG
rnacentral:rRNA from 1 species